UGUGGCCUUCGCCAACGGGCUGCGACCGCGUGUCCACACAAUGCGGACUUGGCAGAUAGCUGGACGAAAAUAAAAGUUCAAAGUCGGAAUGUGCAGAUUUCAGAGGACUAGCUACCUCUAUCGAGAGUGCAAAGAAAAACAACGAAGCUACGCGUCUCGAUUGCCAUGAGGUUUCUCACUUUGCUCUGCUUCCUUUGCCUUGUUUUGGAUGGUACAGAGUGGCGUCCAAGAAUACCUUGUUCCUGGGAGUGUGAUAAUAGCCGACAGGGGCUUCACUCUGGACCCCUACUUGGAAGCCCAGGGAAUCAAAUUGAACAGGCCAGCAUUCACCAAAGCUCCAUGCUGGGCUUAACGCACUAGCUUCGCCAACUGAAUACACAAUUAGGGAAGGGCCAACUUUCUGAACAGGAGGUCACCUCAACUCGGCGCAUUGCAUCAGUGCGAAUACGUGUGGAGCGAGCCAUAAACAGAACAAAGACGUACAGAAUAUUUAAGUCUGCAUUGAGCAUCAAGUGCAAAGACACAAUUGGUAGGAUGAUCUUUGUGUGCGCAGGCCUCUGUAAUUUAAACUCACCAUUAAUUGCAGAGACCGAUGGUCGCACUAGCCAGGAAAUGUAAGCAGUUGUAGGAAUAAAUAGUGCAACCCUGGAAAUUGUUUUUACUGAGUGUUCAAGUGAAAGAAGGGAACACAUUGCAGAAGUUCCUAAUCGGGCAUACAUGAAAAUAUUACACUUUAUUAACUUGGAGUGUUUAUUGAUGAAAUAAUUGAAUGGGUCAUUUUAUGUAGAAGUGUAGCAUAAAAGCACGGACAACACUGUACCACUUAGAACACAAAACAACUGAUGGAAAAACCACUGCACUGAUGCCUCUGGUAAAUAUGUGGCUCUCCUGUACCAGCACAAACAGAAAUUUAUUGAAACAUCUGCACAGAAAAGGUUAUAAAAAACUGGUAAAUGUACUUGAGUAUCAGAGCAGCAAAAAUGUGUUCUAACAACAUAAUAUGAAAAUGUAUUCAAUGUUGUACAGAACGUGAGGCGUAUUAACAACUGCCUCUUUGUAUUUACAUAUAUUAACUGUUUAAACUGUUUCACGUAAU